UGUCAACUGGCUGCAGAAGAAAAACAAGGUACACCUCAGCUGUGACAGUGGCAUGUUCUGUUGCUUUCAGAUUCCCUCUGCCUUCCACCUCUGACUGAAGAAAUUUCCAAAUGGGAAGCAACUGAAAAUUCUGUUGAUCAGAUGAAGAACCCACCCUAGGCUCUCAGCCUUAAGUGGAAGCAGAGGAAAGUUUUCUGAAGGCCGGUGGAUUGGAUCUCCUGAGUUCUGAACACCACUGGAAAAGCUUCCAUUGAAGCCUCACCUUUGCUGAGCCUUAAAGGGGAUGUGCUGUCUUUCUUGGAUCUCUCAUGGUAUUGCCUGGAGAUGAAGGAGGCAUAAAACAGCAGCUGGGCUCACAUUUCCUGACUCACAUUUCCUGACUCACUGCUUCACAAUGACAUGGCUGCAAAUAACAAAUGUUGGAUGGAGACGCGUGCAUGAGGAAAAGACUUCCAGAGUCAAAGUUUUGAUUGGCUCACAAAAGGAUUGUCAGCACAGAAUGACUUCUGUUUCAUCCAUACAUCAGAACCUUUGCAACUUCUGACAAUCAGGCCCCUGCUGAAAAAUAUCUGGGAUAAGAAGAGCUAAAGAAAACAUAGAGGGCUUGGUGGUUCAGUCUUCAACAACAACAACAAGCUGAAAGGUGAAACAAUAAUCAAAUCUCUGCCAUGUUUUACAAGAACAGAAAACAAAUCUCUCUCUCAUACUCAUGAAUGUCAGUUGAAGUGACCUUUAAAAAGUGUGAUGGUUCAGAGAAAAAAAGAGAAACGUAUACUUUUGGAUUGAGAAUGUCAUCAACAUGUUAGUCAGAAUCUUUGGAUUUGAAAAAAAUUCGUUAUCUUUGCCAGUUUACUUCAAAUGUUGAAGAUGGGAAAGUACUGCAUUAUGUAAGGCUUUGAGAUUUGAAACAAAAGAAAAGAGAGUUGAGGAGUUUGCAAUGGUUUGUGGUUUGAUUGAUCACUUCUUCUCUAUCACAUGCAUUAAUGACUUUACUAUUCCCAUAAAUUCUUCCUUUGACCUUUCUGUUAAAAUAUGAUGACAAAAUGACAAGUGCAUUUCUUACAGUUUUUGGACCAAGAACAUGUUGUGUAUUAUCCCUUGAGAGCCUGUGCUAGCAUUUUUCCAAAUGUUUUUCUUUCAUGUGGUAGCCUAAAUUCCUUAUUCUCCAUCUCUUCAAGAUCCAUGUUAAAUAUUGGUCCAAAGGGUGGGUUUUUUGAUUAAUUUUAUAUUGCAUGUAUUUCCUUUUAUAAUUACAUUGUCUUAUGGGUUCAGGAAUCUUUCUAAGUUAAUUCUAAGUUUCAUGAAGAAAUCCCCUUGGUAGAAGGAGAAAAGUCCAUUUUGGAUUCUAUGUGCAAAGGAAAAAAUAAAUUUGAAAUUACUGUAAUGGUUGUUCUUGUG
ensembl:lncRNA